rnacentral:rRNA from 1 species
GAUGAACGCUGGCGGCGUGCCUAAUACAUGCAAGUCGAGCGAACGGACGUGAAGCUUGCUUCUCUGAUGUUAGCGGCGGACGGGUGAGUAACACGUGGAUAACCUACCUAUAAGACUGGGAUAACUUCGGGAAACCGGAGCUAAUACCGGAUAAUAUUUUGAACCGCAUGGUUCAAAAGUGAAAGACGGUCUGGCUUCCCCUAAUGAUGGAACCGCGCUGCAUUAGCUAGUUGGUAAGGUAACGGCUUACCAAGGCAACGAUGCAUAGCCGACCUGAGAGGGUGAUCGGCCACACUGGAACUGAGACACGGUCCAGACUCCUACGGGAGGCAGCGGUAGGGAAUCUUCCGCAAUGGGCGAAAGCCUGACGGAGCAACGCCGCGUGAGUGAUGAAGGUCUUCGGAUCGUAAAACUCUGUUAUUAGGGAAGAACAUAUGUGUAAGUAACUGUGCACAUCUUGACGGUACCUAAUCAGAAAGCCACGGCUAACUACGUG